rnacentral:rRNA from 1 species
AGGUAGUGACAAGAAAUAACAAUACGGGGCUUAAAGUCUUGUAAUUGGAAUGAUGGGAAUUUAAACCUCUUCCAGAGUAUCAAUUGGAGGGCAAGUCUGGUGCCAGCAGCCGCGGUAAUUCCAGCUCCAAUAGCGUAUAUUAAAAUUGUUGCAGUUAAAAAGCUCGUAGUUGAAUUUCUGCUGCAUUGCUUGUGUCCCUCUGGGGUCUGUGCAUGUGGCUUUUUUCGGACGGAGUUUCUUUGUCUGAAUGUUUACUUUGAGAAAAUUAGAGUGCUCAAAGCAGGCUUUCGCCUUGAAUAGUUUAGCAUGGAAUAAUAAAGUAGGACUUUGGUUCUAUUUUGUUGGUUUUAGGUACCAAAGUAAUGGUUAAUAGGAACA